GGACUGGAAAAUGCAGCUCUGGACAUACAGGCUUGGCGGAGUUCCUGUGUGAAGACAAAACUCCCAGUACUCCAGAAACGUGGAGGCAGAAGAGCAGUGACAAGGUGUCUGAAAGAGGACUCCCCGUUGGAAUUUGUACCGUGAAAACCCCAGGUGAGGAAUGGAGCAACAUGCCUUGGUGCUCUGUUUGAGUGGGGGAGUGGGCAAGGAUGAAGGUUUGUAAAGAUGUACUUGCUCUGGAUUUCACUGAGCGGGACGAGUCUGGGCUGAAGUUUUCUGUGAUUCUGUUUGUUGCAUUGGAACGGCUGCCUUAGUAGAUUGGAGGGAGGGAGAGGGAGAUUUUAAGACUGGAAGCAGUCCGGAGCGCAUGGUGUUUCUGCCUGCUUUGAUGAUGCUGUUGUAAGUCUUUGGGUCUGCAGUGAGGCUAUCCAGUGUCCUGAUUCAAAGGCAGGAUUCAAUCCAGUCGCACCUCAUUGCAGGCAAAUGCUUCUCUUAACUGGUCUUCUGAAUCAGCAGUAUCAGGGAUUUCACAGUCUGUGUGUUGCAGUGGCUGGCAGUCUUUGCAGUUAGGAACAUCUUCCUGUGUUUUUAUAUUCCAAAUAGGAUCUCAUACUUGAGCUGCAUUAGAAGCAAAUUGUGAUAUCGUGUGCAGUAAGAAAGGGCAGUGGAGCAGGCUCC
rnacentral:lncRNA from 1 species